CCUACGGGAGGCAGCAGUCGAGAAUCAUUCACAAUGGGGGAAACCCUGAUGGUGCGACGCCGCGUGGGGGAAUGAAGGUCUUCGGAUUGUAAACCCCUGUCAUGUGGGAGCAAAUUAAAAAGAUAGUACCCCAAGAGGAAGAGACGGCUAACUCUGUGCCAGCAGCCGCGGUAAUACAGAGGUCUCAAGCGUUGUUCGGAAUCACUGGGUGUAAAGCGUGCGUAGGCUGUUUAGUAAGUCGGGUGUGAAAGGCGCGGGCUCAACCCGCGGACGGCACAUGAUACUGCGAGACUAGAGUAAUGGAGGGGGAACCGGAAUUCGCGGUGUAGCAGUGAAAUGCGUAGAUAUCGAGAGGAACACUCGUGGCGAAGGCGGGUUCCUGGACAUUAACUGACGCUGAGGCACGAAGGCCAGGGGAGCGAAAGGGAUUAGAUACCCGUGUAGUC
rnacentral:rRNA from 1 species